rnacentral:rRNA from 1 species
AAUAGAUACCCUGGUAGUCCACGCCGUAAACGAUGAGUGCUAAGUGUUAGAGGGUUUCCGCCCUUUAGUGCUGCAGCUAACGCAUUAAGCACUCCGCCUGGGGAGUACGGCCGCAAGGCUGAAACUCAAAGGAAUUGACGGGGGCCCGCACAAGCGGUGGAGCAUGUGGUUUAAUUCGAAGCAACGCGAAGAACCUUACCAGGUCUUGACAUCCUCUGACACUUCUAGAGAUAGGACUUUCCCCUUCGGGGGACAGAGUGACAGGUGGUGCAUGGUUGUCGUCAGCUCGUGUCGUGAGAUGUUGGGUUAAGUCCCGCAACGAGCGCAACCCUUGUUCUUAGUUGCCAGCAUUUAGUUGGGCACUCUAAGGAGACUGCCGGUGACAAACCGGAGGAAGGUGGGGAUGACGUCAAAUCAUCAUGCCCCUUAUGACCUGGGCUACACACGUGCUACAAUGGAUGGUACAAAGGGCUGCAAGACCGCGAGGUUUAGCCAAUCCCAUAAAACCAUUCUCAGUUCGGAUUGCAGGCUG